rnacentral:tRNA from 1 species
GGCAGUGUGGCCUAGUGGGUAGGGCAUUGGAGUGGGACUCACCAGACCUGGCUUCCAUUCCCAGCUCUGCCA